UUCGUACCGCAAACCGACACAGGUAGGUGAGUAGAAGAUACCCAGGCGAACGGGAGAACCUUCGUUAAGGAAUUAGGCAAAUUAGCCCCGUAAGUUCGCAAUAAGGGGUGCCACCGCAAGGUGGUCGCAGUGAAAGGGCUCUGCUGACUGUUUAACUAAACCACAGGUCUCUGCGAAAGCGAAAGCUGAAGUAUAGGGGCUGAAGCCUGCCCAGUGCUGGAAGGUUAAGAGGAGGGGUCAACCGCAAGGUGAAGCUCCGAAUUGAAGCCCCAGUGAACGGCGGCCGUAACUAUAACGGUCCUAAGGUAGCGAAAUUCCUUGUCGGGUAAGUUCCGACCCGCACGAAUGGCCUAACGAGUAGAGCACUGUCUCAACGAAGGACCCGGCGAAAUUGAAAUACGUGUGAAGAUGCGCGUUACCCGCACUAGGACAAAAAGACCCCGUGGAGCUUUACUAUAGUUUGCCAUUGCGUUAGGACACAGUCUGUGUAGGAUAGCUGGGAGGCGGAGAAGCUAGUGCGCUAGCAUCGGUGGAGCCAACGGUGAAAUACCAGCCUGAGUGUGUCUUGGCCCUAACCUUGCCCGUGAUCCGGGCGAGAGACAGUGGCAGAUGGGUAGUUUGACUGGGGCGGUCGCCUCCUAAAAGGUAGCGGAGGCGCCCAAAGGUUCCCUCAGGUGGAAUGGAAACCCACCAUUGAGUGUACAGGCAUAAGGGAGCUUGACUGCGAGUCGGACAGGACGAGCAGAGACGAAAGUCGGGCUGAGUGAUCCCACGGUACCGAGUGGAAGGGCCGUGGCUUAUCGGACAAAAGCUACCCCGGGGAUAACAGGCUGGUGAUAUCCAAGAGUUCACAUCGACGAUAUCGCUCGGCACCUCGAUGUCGGCUCAUCGCAUCCUGGGGCUGGAUAAGGUCCCAAGGGUUGGGCUGUUCGCCCAUUAAAGCGGUACGUGAGCUGGGUUCAGACCGUCGUGAGACAGGUCGGUCUCUAUCCAGUGUGGGCGUAAGGGGUUUGAGGGGAGCUGACUCUAGUACGAGAGGACCGAGUUGGACGGAGCGCUGGUGUGUGAGUUGUCGUGCCAACGGCAUAGCUCAGUAGCCACCUCUGGACGGGAUAACCGCUGAAAGCAUCUAAGUGGGAAGCUCGCCCCAAGAUGAGACCCCUCAUCCGUAAGGAGUAAGACCGGUAGUAGACGACUACCUUAAUAGGCAGGAGGUGUAAGCGCUGCAAAGCGUGUAGCCAACCUGUACUAAUGGUCGAGGGCUUCC
rnacentral:rRNA from 1 species